rnacentral:rRNA from 1 species
GACGGACGCUGGGGGCGUGCUUAACACAUGCAAGUCGAACGGAAAGGCCCUGCUUUUGUGGGGUGCUCGAGUGGCGAACGGGUGAGUAACACGUGAGUAACCUGCCCUUGACUUUGGGAUAACUUCAGGAAACUGGGGCUAAUACCGGAUAGGAGCUCCUGCUGCAUGGUGGGGGUUGGAAAGUUUCGGCGGUUGGGGAUGGACUCGCGGCUUAUCAGCUUGUUGGUGGGGUAGUGGCUUACCAAGGCUUUGACGGGUAGCCGGCCUGAGAGGGUGACCGGCCACAUUGGGACUGAGAUACGGCCCAGACUCCUACGGGAGGCAGCAGUGGGGAAUAUUGCACAAUGGGCGGAAGCCUGAUGCAGCAACGCCGCGUGCGGGAUGACGGCCUUCGGGUUGUAAACCGCUUUCGCCUGUGACGAAGCGUGAGUGACGGUAAUGGGUAAAGAAGCACCGGCUAACUACGUG